rnacentral:rRNA from 1 species
UACGGAGGGGGCUAGCGUUGUUCGGAAUUACUGGGCGUAAAGCGUACGUAGGCGGCUUUGUAAGUUAGAGGUGAAAGCCCGGGGCUCAACUCCGGAAUUGCCUUUAAGACUGCAUCGCUUGAAUCAUGGAGAGGUUAGUGGAAUUCCGAGUGUAGAGGUGAAAUUCGUAGAUAUUCGGAAGAACACCAGUGGCGAAGGCGGCUCACUGGCCCCGGGUACUGACGCUGAGGUGCGAAAGCGUGGGGAGCAAACAGG